GAUGAAUUCUUUACUCCUGUAUACCGUAGAAUUGUGGGCGAAUAAUACACUAAGGAAUAAUUUUCACGUACUUCAUUUUGUGUCGAAUAUAAUUAAGAUGAUUGGAAUAAUAUUAUUUUCAAGUGUCAAACGUCACGGAUACAACAUGCAACAUUUUUUGGAAUAAACCUAUUGAUGGUGACGAAUUUUUAGAUUAUGAUAUAUAUUCAAGUAAAGAUGAAGAGAAUAUGUCUCGUUACUUUCGUAUAACUUCUCUUAAGAAAAUACGUUUUUCAAUUCCGAAUCUUGAACCUGGCUCUAAAUAUAAAAUCACCGUGAUAUCUAAAAUUUACAACCAAAUCCUUACUCAAAACUCUACGGAUUGCAUAACUAGAUCUAACAUAGGUCCACUCAGGGUAGUAGAAGUAACGACUACAUCUUGCAAACUUCAAUGGAGAAAACCAAACAAUGGGAGCGAGUUCAUAAUGUACACUAUAAGACCACGUGAAGAAGGCGUGAACAACUUUAUAAUGAUGACUCACUUCUCUAGUCAUCGCUACAUAGAUUUUACGGUCCAAAAUCUUAAAUCUGGAUCUAGAUAUAAUAUUUCAGUGUAUGCUAACCUUAACAAUAUCAAACCAAUAUCAACGAUAUGCGACACUUUGACUUCAAAUACUGUUUCUGCGGCAGUCUAGGUUUUAUACGUCACGAAUACAACAUGUAAAAUUACUUGAAAGAAACCUACGUAAACUUCCAAGAAAGAUAAAUUUUCUAAACUGCAAAAAUUGUGUGAAAUAAAAAUUACAUUCAUGUUAAUAAAUUGUGUAAAAUAUUUUUCCCAUAGCAGAAAAUUAUGUUCAUACUCGACGAAGGUUCCUAAAACUUUUCAUGUUUUUCCAAAAAAUUGAAAUCGUCAAAAAUGCAAAAAAAAAUUAUUUUUUCACAUAUUAUCAUGUACACUAGCAAAAUGCCAAUUUUGAGAAUUUUUGGUCAGCUUUUAUGAGCUUAAAAGAAUAUAAUAGUGCAUAAAAUUUAAUGUUACAAAUUUUUUUAUUUAUUCCUUUAUUUUUUAAAAAAGUCAUUUUUGAACUCCUGCACAAAAAUUUGUUCAAUUUUUGUAUUGGUGAUAUUCUUGCUCGUAAUCUUUGUAGGUUAUAUGAAAAUGACCAAUAGAAAUUCAGAGAGUAAUUUGAAACGCUACAUGACGGAACUUUAUGAUUCUGGUAAGCAAUUUUACCGAAAUAUAAAUGUUUUAAAAAAUUUUCAUAUUUUUUUAUAAUUCUUUAACUU